rnacentral:rRNA from 1 species
GAUGAACGCUGGCGGCGUGCCUAAUACAUGCAAGUCGAACGAACGGACGAUAAGCUUGCUGCUCUGACGUUAGCGGCGGACGGGUGAGUAACACGUGGAUAACCUACCUGUAAUACUGGGAUAACUUCGGGAAACCGGAGCUAAUCCCGGAUAAUCUCUUGCUCCGUAUGGGUCAAUGGUGAAAGACGGUGUUGCUGUCUCUUAUCGAUGGAUCUGCGCUGCAUUAGCUAGUUGUUGAGGUAACGGCUUAUCAAGGCAAGGAUGCAUAGACGACCUGAGAGGGUGAUAGGCGACACUGGAGGUGAGACGGGGACAAGGGUACUACGGGAGGGAGCAGUAGGGAAUCGGCCGCAAUGGGCGGAAGCCUGACGGAGCAGCGCCGCGUGAGUGAUGAAGGCCUUCGGAUCGUAAAACCCGGUUAUUAGGGAAGAACAGAUGUGGAAGUAACUGUGCACAUCGUGACGGUAACUAAUCAGAAAGCCACGGCUAACUACGUG